rnacentral:tRNA from 1 species
ACGCUUUUAGUAUAAUGAGUACAUUUGUUUUCCAAACAAAAGGUUUUCUAGGAUAGAAAAGAGCGUA